rnacentral:lncRNA from 1 species
CAACCACUUCCCGCCAUGGCGCCGCCGCCGCAGCGCCCAUUCCCCUCCCGUCUUGGCCGCACCAACCUCUUCUCCUCUCCUCCCGCUCCCCUCCCUAACCGCCACAACCCCAAGAACCGCUCCCUCCCUCUCCCUCUCCCUCCCCUCCCCCCUCGCCGCCGCCGCCACCCCAAGAGCCACCCACAGCAACCUUCGCGAGAACAAGAGCCACCAAUGCCGGCUCCAAGAGCCAGGGACACCAACCCC